GACGAACGCUGGCGGCGUGCUUAACACAUGCAAGUCGAACGGAAAGGCCCUGCUUUUGUGGGGUGCUCGAGUGGCGAACGGGUGAGUAACACGUGAGUAACCUGUCCUUGACUUUGGGAUAACUUCAGGAAACUGGGGCUAAUACCGGAUAGGAGCUCCUGCUGCAUGGUGGGGGUUGGAAAGUUUCGGCGGUUGGGGAUGGACUCGCGGCUUAUCAGCUUGUUGGUGGGGUAGUGGCUUACCAAGGCUUUGACGGGUAGCCGGCCUGAGAGGGUGACCUGCCACAUUGGGACUGAGAUACGGCCCAGACUCCUACGGGAGGCAGCAGUGGUGAAUAUUGCACAAUGGGCGGAAGCCUGAUGCAGCAACGCCGCGUGCGGGAUGACGGCCUUCGGGUUGUAAACCGCUUUCGCCUGUGACGAAGCGUGAGUGACGGUAAUGGGUAAAGAAGCACCGGCUAACUACGUG
rnacentral:rRNA from 1 species